rnacentral:rRNA from 1 species
AAUAGAUACCCGGGUAGUCCAUGCCGUAAACGAUGUCUACUAGCCGUUGGGGCCCUUGAGGCUUUAGUGGCGCAGCUAACGCGAUAAGUAGACCGCCUGGGGAGUACGGUCGCAAGACUAAAACUCAAAUGAAUUGACGGGGGCCCGCACAAGCGGUGGAGCAUGUGGUUUAAUUCGAUGCAACGCGAAGAACCUUACCUGGCCUUGACAUACAGAGAACUUUCCAGAGAUGGAUUGGUGCCUUCGGGAACUCUGAUACAGGUGCUGCAUGGCUGUCGUCAGCUCGUGUCGUGAGAUGUUGGGUUAAGUCCCGCAACGAGCGCAACCCUUUUCCUUAUUUGCCAGCACUUCGGGUGGGAACUUUAAGGAUACUGCCAGUGACAAACUGGAGGAAGGCGGGGACGACGUCAAGUCAUCAUGGCCCUUACGGCCAGGGCUACACACGUGCUACAAUGGUCGGUACAAAGGGUUGCUACUGCGCGAGCAGAUGCUAAUCUCAAAAAGCCGAUCGUAGUCCGGAUCGCAGU